CCGGAAUUGCUAGUAAUGGCAGGUCAGCAUACUGCCGUGAAUACGUUCCCGGGCCUUGUACACACCGCCCGUCACACCAUGAGAGUUGGGAAUACCCGAAGCCUGUGAGCUAACUUUUAGAGGCAGCAGUCGAAGGUAGAAUCAAUGAUUGGGGUGAAGUCGUAACAAGGUAAC
rnacentral:rRNA from 1 species